UCAGGACGAACGCUGGCGGCAUGCCUAAUACAUGCAAGUCGAGCGGACUUGAUGAGAAGCUUGCUUCUCUGAUGGUUAGCGGCGGACGGGUGAGUAACACGUAGGCAACCUGCCCUCAAGCUUGGGACAACUACCGGAAACGGUAGCUAAUACCGAAUAGUUGUUUUCUUCUCCUGAAGAGAACUGGAAAGACGGAGCAAUCUGUCACUUGGGGAUGGGCCUGCGGCGCAUUAGCUAGUUGGUGGGGUAACGGCUCACCAAGGCGACGAUGCGUAGCCGACCUGAGAGGGUGAUCGGCCACACUGGGACUGAGACACGGCCCAGACUCCUACGGGAGGCAGCAGUAGGGAAUCUUCCGCAAUGGGCGAAAGCCUGACGGAGCAAUGCCGCGUGAGUGAUGAAGGUUUUCGGAUCGUAAAGCUCUGUUGCCAGGGAAGAACGCUUGGGAGAGUAACUGCUCUCAAGGUGACGGUACCUGAGAAGAAAGCCCCGGCUAACUACGUGCCAGCAGCCGCGGUAAUACGUAGGGGGCAAGCGUUGUCCGGAAUUAUUGGGCGUAAAGCGCGCGCAGGCGGUCAUUUAAGUCUGGUGUUUAAUCCCGGGGCUCAACCCC
rnacentral:rRNA from 1 species